UGUGUCAGACGCCCGGAGAGGCACAGCCCCCAGUGAGCCCUGGAAGGGCGUGGAAGGGAGAAGAGAGGGCGGCUCAGAGCCACCAAGAGGAGGAGGAAGUGGGGGAUGCGCAGCUUCCUGUGGAGAGAAGAUGACUGAAGACAAAGCUGGGUGGGGACUAGUCCCUGGGCUGCGGGCGCCGCUGCUGCACGCCGUGGGCAGCUCCUACUACGCGGCCGGGCGGGCGGGGCGGCGGUGCGCGGCUGCCUGCACGGACCAGCUCACAGGAGCCACUCUCCUCCGACCGGCCCGCGGCUAAGCCAGAUCUGCCAGUGAGCCUCAGGCUUCCGGACCUGAAGAGGUUUUUCCAAACCAACUGUAAAAAACACCAGAGAUUCAGCACUAAGAAGAACCAGCAACAAUUGUGCAACGUCACAUCAGUCUCCCUGUCCCCAGCACCCUCCUCAUGUGCCUCUGAGGGUCACAGUUUACUAACUUCGCUGUGCAGGUGACACACACCUCACGCGUCUUCUUCAGCACGUCAGAGUGUGGAAACUAUGAAACCCGAGUUUGCCAAAGCAGCCCGGAGCUCUCAGCGUGAAUCCCGCCUUUUGUGUGACAAAACUGAACUCUCCCCCUGAGACGGCAGCCUGUGUGGGAACAGACGGGUGUGAGAAGACGGCCUUGAGUGCCCGAGGGGAGGGGCCUGGAGUGGACAAUGUCCUGGACGUCCCCUCUGAGAACCAGGUGCCUCCUGACCUCAAGGGGCGGACGAGAGCUCCUGACCUGCCAUCCAAAGCUGCCUCUGGGGGAGGGCCUGGCUGGGCCGUGCUCCCAGCUCCCACGGCCCACGGCCCCCACGGCAGAGCCGGCUGCAAAAGCGGGGCCCCGAGGGGCCAGGGGCUGUGACCCUCACAUCACUGUGACCGUCAUUGGGAGGCUUUUGUUCUCUAAGCCACUGGGACACAGAGCACGUGAGUGUCCCAGAAAGAGCCAUACAUUAGCUGUCCCAGAAUAGGCAUUUGACUUUUAGGAGCCUGCAGUCUUUUUUUCUUUUUUUUAAUGUAUUUAAUCAUUUCCUAUCUUCCAAAGUAUCUCAGUUGAUAGGUCCAAGGAAUUCUCUUUCAGUUUUUUUUGUUGAGGAAGAACAG